CUUUAUGGCUACAGAAAAGUUAUUGUACAACCAUACACCGAAUCAGUUACAAAGCAGUUUACCGUAAAAUUCUCGUGCUCUGUAAUCCGGAAAGAAAAAGAGAACGUGUUUAUUGUGAUCAAAACAUUGCUUCGCACAUGGCAUUCGAAAAGGAUUUUCCAGGACUUUCCAGGUCUUCAGGAUGAAAUAAAUAUCUUUUAACAGAAUGAUGGAAAUUGAUGGGCACCCUAGAAAUAUUAAAAGCAAAAAAAAAAGGAAAGAUAGGAAAACUAAUUCUGACAGUCAUAUUACUUGGCAUAAAAGUGAAGAAUAUUUUGAUUUAACAGUAGCUGAGACACAGAUUCAACAUGAACAGUAUGGAAAGUUGGAUGACCAUAUAAAGAAAAAAAAGAAGAAAGAGAAGGUAAAACUCUCAGAACAUGAUGAAGGGUAUCCAACUCCUGAGAAAGUCCUUGAAUCAACAAACAAUAAUCAAAUAAUGGAAGAUCCAUGUCAGAUGAGCUUCAACACAAAAAAGAGAAAGCUUUCAGACUGUGAAGAUGAAGAGGCUCUAAUUGGUGAGGAAGUUCUUGAGUUGAAUAAUGAAAUUCACAAGAAGCUUCAUAAGAAAAAAAGGAAAAAGAAGCCCUCAGAGUAUGAACAUCAGGAUAUUCUUGAGUCAUUGCUUCCCAGUUACCAGAAUUUGGAAGCUACAUGUGAAGUGAGUCCUAAGAAAAAAAAGAGAAAAAAAGUCUCAGUUUCUGAUGACAAAAAUAGCUUGUCUGAAGCUAUAUCUUCAUCAAACAUAAUGGAAGCAAAUGCCAGUCCACAGCAUCAGAUAAUGUGCAAAGCUGAUGUUCAGAUAAAAGAGAAGAAACACAGCAAGAAGAAGAAAGAUUCUGAUAAUAAUGAGGAUGAAAUACAUUUCCAAAGGGACCACCAUGAACAUCCACAACUUCAUUUAGAAAGGGAUGGAAACAUUGAAUUUACUAACAAUCACAAGAGCAUAGAAGGAGGCUUGCAGUUUCUCAGCUCUCGAGACAGAAGAUGAUGAUUUUGAUGAUGACUUCAGUGAUGAUGCCUAUGAAAAAACAGUGAGAAGAAAUGGAAAAAAGACAGAGAAAGUAAUGAUUCAGCCACAUGAACCAGAUUUGCCAGAUGGACAAUAUGUUGAGCCAGAUUUGCCUGUAGGACAAUAUGAGUCAGACAAGCCAGAUUUGCCAGAAUUACCUGAUAUUUCACCUUUGUAUAAUGUUAAAAGAUUUGUAAAUCUUCAAAAGAAAACUUCUUAUCCAGUACAAAUUCGACUCAACGGGGUUGUAAGAUCAUAUGAAGAAUGCUUUUAUGAGUUUCCUCCAGGAGUUGGAAUUCCUCCUGAAGAGAUCGAAGAAAUUCCUGAUGAAUAUGACCAUUGGAAACGUGCAUGGAAGGUUCUUCCAGAUAAAAAAUUUACAGAAGAAGAAAUAAAGGAAGAAAUAGAAAACAAAAUAGAGAAGAUAUGUGAUUAUUUUCAUAGAUAUCAUACUGGAAAUCUAACAAGCAAGGAGUUGAAACCAAAGCGACCCAGAAAUUUUUUUGAAGUGUAUUUACCAACUCCAGACCAAGUAGAGUUUUUAAAAAAUCUGCACAUCAAGGUGAAUUGGAAACUUGGUUUAAUUCAUAGAUACUGUUAUGAAUUCAUAUAUGGAGCAUCUGCAUGCAGAGCCAUGGCUGCACAUGGAAUAGAAUGGAGGAAAAGCACUGGAAUAUCUAGAGCUGAAAAAGAUGUUAUAUUGAGUAACUGGAUUCGCUUUCAAAAGGUGAGUUUAACUAUU